CAGCCGCCGCGGGAAUACGUAGGGUGCAAGCGUUAAUCGGAAUUACUGGGCGUAAAGCGUGCGCAGGCGGUUCGUUAAGACAGAUGUGAAAUCCCCGGGCUUAACCUGGGAACUGCAUUUGUGACUGGCGGGCUAGAGUAUGGCAGAGGGGGGUAGAAUUCCACGUGUAGCAGUGAAAUGCGUAGAGAUGUGGAGGAAUACCGAUGGCGAAGGCAGCCCCCUGGGCCAAUACUGACGUUCAUGCACGAAAGCGUGGGGAGCAAACAGGAUUAGAGACCCCUGUAGUCCCUGUCUCUUAUAC
rnacentral:rRNA from 1 species